UACGGAGGAUCCAAGCGUUAUCCGGAAUUACUGGGCGUAAAGAGUUGCGUAGGUGGCAUAGUAAGUAGAUAGUGAAAGCGUUCGGCUCAACCGAAUAUCCAUUAUCUAAACUGCUAAGCUCGAGGAUGAGAGAGGUUAUUGGAAUUCCCAGUGUAGGAGUGAAAUCCGUAGAUAUUGGGAGGAACACCGAUGGCGUAGGCAGAUAACUGGCUCAUUCCUGACACUAAGGCACGAAAGCGUGGGGAGCAAACGGG
rnacentral:rRNA from 1 species